UAGGGAAUCUUCGGCAAUGGACGAAAGUCUGACCGAGCAACGCCGCGUGAGUGAAGAAGGUUUUCGGAUCGUAAAACUCUGUUGUUAGAGAAGAACAAGGACGUUAGUAACUGAACGUCCCCUGACGGUAUCUAACCAGAAAGCCACGGCUAACUACGUGCCAGCAGCCGCGGUAAUACGUAGGUGGCAAGCGUUGUCCGGACUUAUUGGGCGUAAAGCGAGCGCAGGCGGUUUCUUAAGUCUGAUGUGAAAGCCCCCGGCUCAACCGGGGAGGGUCAUUGGAAACUGGGAGACUUGAGUGCAGAAGAGGAGAGUGGAAUUCCAUGUGGAGCGGUGAAAUGCGUAGAUAUAUGGAGGAACACCAGUGGCGAAGGCGGCUCUCUGGUCUGUAACUGACGCUGAGGCUCGAAAGCGUAGGGAGCAAACAGG
rnacentral:rRNA from 1 species